AUUCACUCCCUCCAAACCGUGCCCCUUCUCUUUUGGCGGGAAAAUCCCUCUCUCAGUUCCCAACAUUUUUGCCCUCUUUCUUCAAUCUUCUCCGAUGACCUAAAACCCUAGUUAGUGUCAUCUGUAUUCUGUAAUAGCACAACUAAGCUCAAUCGAAACAUAAAAUGGCUCCAAAGAAAAGAACAAGUUCAGGAUCAACGAAGAAAUCAAGCAAUCAAAGCCAGAACCUUCAGCAUCAGCAGCAAUCUCAGCCGUCCAAAUUCGGGAUCCAGCAUUUCUUUGAACGCCACACCCAAAAUGUCCUCUCUCAGAAAUCCAAACCCCUCCUCGUUCCCCACAACUCCAAUUCCAACUCAUUUCAAAUCCCUCAAGAAAAUUCCAGUGUCUCAGUACCAGAAACUUCUAGAAAUGAUGGAUUGAAUUUGAAAAAGUGUGACAAGGAUAGUGCGGUGUCUCGAGAUAAAGGUUAUAAAAAUGUAAAUAAAUCGGAUCAUAUUGAUGUAACAGAGAGAUUUAAGGAUAGGGGAGUUGGGGAUGGUAAAAACAAGGAAAAAAGAGUUACUUUGAAAAUGAAUGACUCGGGUGGUCCGUCUCAGAGUACACCUACGGAGAAUCUGGUAACUGCAGGUUCAGGGAAGGAGAAAAAUCAAGCAGAAAUAACGCCUGAGUUAUGCAAGUCCGUGUCUGUGAAGCGCUUAAAGUUUUCUCCAGGAAUGCUGAUCAAGCAAAGCCAGGAUGAUGGAGGUGAUGAAGUAUCAUGGAGAAUAUCUCCAGUGAAUGAACGACUUCAUGCCGUGUCCAAACAACUACCAGAGAUGGUAAAAGUGUUGGCGGAUUCAUCACGCUUCAACUCCUUAAGUAUUCAAGAAUGUUCGCUGAAAAAGACGUCUCCCGGGACAGAAAGAAAGUUUGAGAAGCGGCUUUGUUCACCUCCACUGAAGGCGCUUGAUAAAUCAUUAGUAAGCUCAAAUAGGGCUAGCUUGAGAAACAGAAACACCGAUCAUGUAAUGGAUCUGUGGGAAACCAAUGGAAACUUAAGCUGCCAGAGCAAAGCUGAAGUAACUAACAGUCAGAGUCCUUUUCAGACUCCACCAUCUUUGACAUACGGCAGCGAUAAGCCUGCCAAUGUGGUCAAUAAUAAUGAAUUCUCUGAUCAGCUUGGUUCAAGGCAACACAAAAAGGCAUUGAUUGAGCUUUUAGACCAAGUAGAAGAUGUAAUUUCGGUUGAACCAAAAUCUAAAGAGAAAGUUGCCCAUAGUCAUGAUGAACCAGCUAAGCCAGCUUCCAUUGUACUAGAAGAUGUAAUUUCUGUUGUACCAAAAUAUGAGGAGAAAGUUGCAUCCCAUAGUCAUGAAGAGCCAGCUGCCAUUGUGCUAGAAGAUGUCAUUAAUGUUGAACCAAAAUGUGAGGAGAAAGUUGCAUCCCGUAGUCAUGAUGAACCAGCUAAGCCAGCUGCCAUUUUGCAGAAAUCGGCAGAAAGUUUUUGUGCACGUGACCAAAGGAAAGAGUCAACUAUCUAUUUUCUUGUAUUGGAGGUUUCUGAGAAGCAUGGACAAGUUGAAACAUCUGGACAGCAGUAUUCCUUCAAGGUUUUGCGUAUACUGAAUGAACAAAGUGGAGAAGAGCGGGUUUUGCAUUUGAGGGAUGAGUGGUGCUAUAGUGUUGUUGCACCAGGAGAUACUAUUCAUGUCAUUGGUGAGUUUGACAGCGAAGGAAAAUGUGAAAUAAACCGCGAGAAGAAUUUUCUCAUUGUUCAUCCAGAUGUUUUAGUCUCUGGAACAAGGGUUGCUUCCAGUUUCAGUUGCUCAAGGCGAGCUGUGCUGGAUGAGAGGUUAAAAUCUGGCGAGUAUUCAGCUGCAGCAUUGAUUGGUACAUUAUUGCAUCAGAUGUUUCAGGCUGGGCUGAUCAGAGAGUCCCCUACACAAGAAUUCUUGGAGGAUUAUGCAAGGAUAGUGCUCCAGAAAAGUCUUGAGAGCCUAUAUGCAUGUGGAGUUGAUGAAAAUGAUACUCACAAGACAUUGAUUGAGGCAAUUCCAAAACUGCUGAAUUGGAUACGUUCCUUCCAAUAUUCAGAGGUUUCAGAAGGCCCAAGUAUUGAUUUUGGAAGUGAAGACGGAGUUAAGAAGAUUAAAGUAUGUGAAGUACUUGAUAUUGAAGAAAUGGCAUGGGCCCCAAAAUAUGGGUUGAAAGGCAUGAUUGAUGCAUACUUGCGAGUAAAUGUAAAAUUCAACACCAGUAAACAUAAUGAGAUGAUUAUGCCUCUCGAAUUUAAAACUGGGAAGGCAACAAAUGGACUGACAGCUAUGGAACAUAAUGCUCAAGUGAUGCUGUAUACCCUUCUAAUGUCAGAAAGAUACUCGCAGCAUAUCGGACAUGGUCACCUGUAUUAUCUGCACACAGAUCAUACGCAGGGAAUUACUGUUCGAAGAUCUGACUUGGUUGGCCUAAUAAUGCGCCGUAAUGAACUUGCAAAUGAUCUUCUCAAGACCACUAUAACUCAACAACUGCCACCAAUGUUACAGAGUCCAAAUAUGUGCAGAGGCUGUCGACACCUCAAUGUCUGUACUGUUUAUCAUAAGGCAUAUGGUGGCACCACAGAAGGUAGCGGUUUGGGCGGUGUGUUUGAUUCACUUGUUAGCCAUCUAACAAUUGCACAUACUAAUUUUCUUCAAAAAUGGGAUCAGUUGAUUGACUUGGAGGCUAAAGAAGUUGAGGUUGUAAAGAAAGAAAUUUGGUGUUCACAAAGUUCAAAGAAUGACUUUUACGCUUCUUACUUAUCUUCUCUUGUCCUUGAUACAUCAGAACGAACCACACCAACAAACUUUUGCAAAGGAAAUCAAUUUACUUAUCACUUUGUACAUCGAGAUUGGACUUCCUUGGGCACUCAUCAACAGGAUGGAGAUGCUCUUAAUAGUUAUAAUUUUCCCAUGAAAAAGUUUGAAUCCUCACUUAGGAAUGGGGAUUAUGUGGUAUUGAGCACUGAACCUGGUGGUAUACUAAUAGCUACUGGAGUUGUUGUAGAUAUGAGUUGCUCUCGCAUCUCGGUAUCUCUUUCCAAACGCUUAAGGCUUCCAGGUAGCAGCCGGACUUCACAGGCACAAGAUCUUCAUCAGCAGUUGUGGCGAAUUCAUAAAGAUGAAUUUAUGGGUUCAUUUGCAAUUAUGAGAUUCAACCUCAUACAACUAUUUCUGCAAAAUGAGCAGAGUUCUCAUCUGAGGAAGAUGAUAGUUGAUCUGGAGGUGCCUAGGUUUGAUAGUGGAUGCCAAUUUAGUCAAGACCCUGCCAUCUCAUACAUUUGGUCAGAGAAAAACUUGAAUGACGAUCAGCGCCGAGCCAUACUUAAGAUACUUACGGCAAAGGAUUAUGCGCUGAUACUAGGAAUGCCAGGGACAGGUAAAACAUCCACUAUGGUCUAUGCUGUGAAGGCGCUGUUGAUGAGAGGUUCAUCCAUUUUGCUUACCUCCUAUACAAACUCAGCUGUUGAUAAUCUGCUUCUCAAACUGAAGGCUCAGGUCAUCUCCAUCCUUGAUGCUUUGUCUCUUUUCGUCUUCUUGAGCCGAGGGUCUUUCGGAAACAGCCUCUCUACCCCCUCGGGUAGGGGUAACGUCUGCGUACACACUACCCUCCCCAGACCUCACUAGUGGGAUUUUACUGGGUCGUUGUUUUUGUUGUUGCUGUAUCUCAAAAAUUUAGAAGGCAUAGGAGUUGAUGUGUAGCAUUAGAUGAAACUGGUUGAUUUAAGAAGGGCCUACUAUGGCAACUACACUCCCUAGCUGCUUCUACUGGUAUUAGUAUUACAUCAUUAUUUCCUCUUUAUCGUUCGAUCAUUUAGAAGCAUACACCUCACAUUUUACUACCUCCAAUCUCCUGAAAUAAAUUCUAGCAUAAAGCUGCUUGGUGGUGACUCCAUCGAAUAAAAUCCUUUUUGAAUCACCAAAUUGUCGCAUCCAUUGAAAUCCCUUCCUCCACUUGUGAGAAUUUGAUGCAUAUGCAAUGUGGUCAGUGAAUGGGCGUUAAGGAGGAUCUCCACCUCUCAUUUGAAGCUCUGCUGGAAGUAUGUGUUCUCGCAUGGAGUAACGGGUUGAAGGAGCCAUCAAGGAAUUGGACAUCCCUUUAGAAAGGGCUGGAAGACCCUUUUAGAUGCGAAAUUCCUCGUUUUUUUCCUCACAUUCCGUUGGUCAAUUACGAACCAAGGUGCUCUACUUCACUACUUGUAAGGUGUGACGUAUGAUUCAUUGACUUUUAAUUUAAUAAAAGAAGACAUUUAAAAUGCGAAUUUCUUGCUAUUUAAUGGAUAAGGGAAUAGAUUAUAGCUGUUCAGCUUAACUCAGUGCAAUCCUGUAGUAAGUACAACUCAAACUUAGGCAUUCAACUGUUAAAUAUAAACCCUAAACCCUAAACCUAUAUUUUUAAAAUAUAUAAUUAAUAACAACCUUUAAAGUUUAAACUGUUUUGUAACUUGAAGCAUUUUCAGGGAAAACUAACAAAUGCCUAUCAGUAAUUCUAAACACAGGAUAUCUUGAGUCCAAAUUGAUAAACAAGUCAUUUACUUUGAAGUUGAUUCCCCCAUAUUGUAGAUCAUGUAUAACUUGGUCUCACCAUGAAAAGUUUUAGAUAGCGCUGUUAAGCUGUUGAUGAAUUAGUAGACAAAAUAUUCGGAUAUAUGUUAGUGGGGCUUAGGCGAAGGGGCAAACAAAUAUAAUCUAUUAGCUUCAUGGCUGUAAACCAAAAUUCUGCCCUUAUAACACUUAUCCUCACAUACAUUUAGAUCAAAUCAAGAGCCUGCUGAUUUCUAAGGUAAAAAAAUAACUCAAUUACCUCUUCGUGUAUAAAUGUAUCAAGUUAAAGAUCCUUCUUUUUAUCCAUUUAGAUAUUCAACUAUACGCAGUGGCUCUGCAAGUAAAAUGAAGCUGAUUGACUGACAUGCAUGUAAGCGUUAUCGAGGAAAAUCUCUCUUUUCCUCUUCCUCUAAGGGCAUGGU